rnacentral:rRNA from 1 species
GAUGAACGCUGCCAGAAUGCUUAACACAUGCAAGUCGAUGGGGAAGUGGUGCUUGCACCCUGGUAACCAUGGCGGACGGGUGAGUAACGCGUAAGGAACUUACCUGCGGGACCGGGAUAACAGCAGGAAACUGCUGACAAGACCGGAUAAGGUCAUUAAGCUGCAUAGCUUAGUGAUGAAAGGAGACGCCUGCGGAGAGCCUUGCGUCCUAUUAGCUAGUUGGAGGGGUAACGGCCCACCAAGGCGAAGAUAGGUAGCCGGCCUGAGAGGGUGGACGGCCACAAGGGGACUGAGAUACGGCCCUUACUCCUACGGGAGGCAGCAGUGGGGAAUAUUGGACAAUGGGGGCAACCCUGAUCCAGCAAUUCUGUGUGCACGAAGACGGUUUUCGGAUUGUAAAGUGCUUUCAGCAGGGAAGAAGGAAGUGACGGUACCUGCAGAAGAAGCGACGGCUAAAUACGUG